rnacentral:lncRNA from 1 species
UCACAGACUGGAGGGUGACAGUGACCAGAGCAAGUUUAACCUUUUAAAGAGGAAGGAUCUGUUGCUUGGCUACCAGGCCUGCGUAGGGUAAUGAGUGGAAAUGGGGAACAGAAGUGGAGAAAGAAGAGAGACCUAGAAGCGGGGUGGUGGGGAAAGGGCAGGAACCCCUCGUGGGCUGGAGCCUGCAGAGGGAGGGAGAAUGUGAGCAGCUUCCAGAAGGUGUGGGGCUUUGAGGAAAGGGGACGGAGAGCAUCUGAAGGAAGCUUGGGUGUGAUCGGGCCACGGUCUCCAGAAGACUCAGGAAGGCUACUCAGAGAAGGGUCCCCCCAAGGGAUGUGGGACGGUUGGCCUAACCCUGUGGCAGACGGCUCUGCUUCUCUUCAUGGCCUAUGGAUUUGGAAAGCUCCUGAGUGCAAUGAGGAGUACCUCAUCUAGCAGCCAAGACCUAUUCCCUGCCCCAGUGCCCCAGUACCCCAGAAACAGGCCAAGCCCCAGACUCUCCUGGCAUAAAUACCGGCUCCCGUCCAACCUCACGCCAUCAGGUAUGGGAGAUGCUGGGACCAGCAGCUAGCAGAGGGAAAAUGACAUAUCCUAGGAUUCAAUCCAAUCAGGAUUCCAUCCCAAGGACCAAGGUAGAAUAGAACAGCAGCCGUUCUUUCUGGGAGAUGAACCCUGCAAAUUAAGCUGCCUGGCAGGCUUGGCAGCCUGUAGGUGUGACGGGUGAGGCCUCAGCCCACUCUUUCCCCAGCCCUUGAAUUCCAUUUGUCCAGGCCUCCAGGCUGUACAGCACCCCUGCCAUGUGCACAUAAGACAGCAGGGAAGCUGACAGGCGACCACUAUCCUCCCACUCCCCAUCAGCUGCUAGGUGAGUGGGGAACAAAGAAACAGAAAGUCAUGGGAACCACCCUCCCUUGCCAAGCAACAAAUGCGCUAAGAUGCUGAGCCAGGGGAGGGGGGAUUGGGCCUGGGAGCAGCUGGUAUGAUUGGUCUCACCUGCCCAGCAGGCAGAAAAUGCCUGCAUUCUUGGUUGGGUAAUUGAACUGCCUCUCUUUCUGGAGGUGAGUGUGGGGCAGAGCAUCUCUGAGCACAGGCCUCCACUGCCUGUAGUUCCCUCCCUCCUAGGUAUGGGUCCUGGGGAGGUUAUACUUGGG